rnacentral:lncRNA from 1 species
UAUAAAGAGUUAUAAAACCAAUUGACCGAUGUUUAAAAUUGUCAUACAUCUCACACACACGUAAACAUAUUUACGACAGCGUUGUUAGAGAAAAUAGGCAUUGCCUAGUGUUUCUUAUGCUGUCCAGUGUAAUGUAAAUGGAGGCGUUGCACCAUGGAACUCAUCGAGUUCAGUAUUCUUUAUGCGAAACACAUAAAAAUUACUAAAAAAGUAACAAAUAGUAUAUUUGAACGCAUAAUUUUAAAAAACAUAAUGGAUACGGUGCCAAAAUCUUAAAGUCUGAAUCAAAAGAGUUGCCUCUAAAUAUAAGGUCGACAAAUAUACUUAUAUUGGAUCAGAUGAUAAAAAUAUUCAUCGAUGUUUGUGUCUUGAAUUUGAACUGAUUCUAUGAAUGAUCACAGAGUAUUGAUUAUAUGGAUCCAAUAUCAGGUUCACGAGUUCCAAUUUCACCCAAACUACACAUAUAUCAGGCAAAAAUUUUACAUCAGAAAAAAGUCUGAAAUUUUCUAUUACCAUUUCAGAUCAGAAUCCAUACAGUUUCAUUCCCUAUCUUAUUAAUCAUAUUCAAACCAAAAUAAAUAAAUAGAAAUAUAUUUUGACAAGAACUUGCAAGCAUAUAUAAAUGUUUUGUAUCAGUUGCUAGGACAAAGUGGUUCCAAUUUUAUAAUUCCAAUUGGAAAGUAAUAAGUCUAGCUAAUAAGUGUAGUAGUAAUUUAAGCUAUGAGACAAGAGUGUAAUCAAUGAUUAAGCAACAUAACUAAGCUAUUUUCAAACAGGUCAACAUACACAAACGAGAACAAACAAAUCAAAUCCAGAUCCAUCAAAAUAAGAAAGCAAAAUCUAAAAACAGAAGGCGAAUAUCUCUGUUUUAUCCAAAUAUAAACGCUGUACAUUCAACAUACUUGUGUGACUCCACGAACCGACUCGCCGGAAUUGCGUGUUGCCGCCGUGUAAGGAUUUGGAAGCAGAAGGUGGCGAUGGAGGUAAAAAUGUUUCCGGUUCGUCGACUCAUCUGCGACCGGUCCAAAUCGGGCCGGUUCAUAGCGGCGCCGCCGUGUUAGGCGGUGAAGUAGAAGAUAGGUUGAAGAAGAAGGUAGAGGAAGAUGAAGCAAGUGCUUGACGCUGCUAAGAACACCAAUCCGUACAGAGUUCGAACCGCCAUUGAAGAAGAUUCUGGAGUUGAUAGGAAAGAGAUUUGAGAUUUAGAUCUGGAAAGUAGUGGUGGGGAAGUUCGAUUUUAAAUAAGAGACUGUAAAAGCUUCCUGAUUUGAAAUUUGAAUGUGAAAAAGGACUUAAAAGGGAAAAUGGAUAAGGCUAUAGCAAAAUAUAAUAAUUUUAAAGAAGAAUGAAGAUAAGGUUAAAGGUCUAUAGCAAUAACAAUUUACAAUAUUUUAAUCUAUUAAUUU